rnacentral:rRNA from 1 species
UACGGAGGGUGCAAGCGUUUGUUCGGAAUUAUUGGGCGUAAAGGGUGCGUAGGCGGUUUGGUAAGUCUGAUGUGAAAUCUAUGGGCUCAACUCAUAGUCUGCAUCGGAAACUGCCGGGCUUGAGUGUGGGAGAGGUGAGUGGAAUUCCUGGUGUAGCGGUGAAAUGCGUAGAUAUCAGGAGGAACACCUGUGGCGAAAAGCGGCUCACUGGACCAUAACUGACGCUGAUGCACGAAAGCUAGGGGAGCAAACAGG